rnacentral:lncRNA from 1 species
CGUGGCAGUUCAUCAAAUCAACCAAAAAGAUCAAAAAAGAAAUAGAAAAGUGAGGGAAAAAGAACCAUUUGCUCAACCCGUGUAUAGCUCCCCCAAAUUGGAGAACCCAUAUUGCACGAGAACAACUCCGACAUCUUCCGGUGGAAAUCGCAAAAACAAUGUGUUUUGUCUCAUUUAUCACACGUUGCCCGACCAUAUACCUUCAACUUCCAGUGUUGGGAGGCAUGAAAAUUCUCGUCCCUUUCACCUAUUCAGUUCAAACCUUGGACACCUUCUCCAAAGCCAUCUCCUCCAUUCAUAACGGUGAGACAAAAUCGCCGGACUCAUCUCCAUCUCCGGCUCGAAACAAGUGAAGAAGGUACCACAGUAGCAUUACCCAAACAUACCUGCCGAUAUUUAAAGGAAGUGAGCCUUGUUUUUCACCUCCCCCGUCACGAAAGCACCACCACAGUUCUCCUUCUUCGUCCGACGCCAAACCACCAUUGAAGAACACAUCUCCGUCAAGUUUAUAAAGGUAAUGGGGGAAUUAAUUAUGUUAUAAAAAUUCAGACCUAGAUGAUAUAACAUAAUUAUUGAUGUGCGAUUGAAAUUUGUGUGAAUGGUCAUUUAUUUAGGAGGUGGAGUUGAUGAAUAACAAGCUUUUUUAGUCAAGAAUUUGCUUGUUUGAGAAUUCAAGCAGUGAGUCUGAAAAGGGGGCGGAGUUGGUGAGAUUAAUAGAAGAAGAUAUGCAUCUUAUUGCUCUGUUCUUUACUGCAGCGAAGUGUUUAGGAGGAAAUGUUGGGAUGGUUUUGGUUCUUUAGGAAGAUAUGCCUAAUGCCUGUUGUAGGUGUUGUGAUUUUAAGUUUUGAAAACUUUAGCAUUGAACACGAAUUAUUCUCGAUCUUCUUAGUUCGCGUAGUAUUGACAUUUGUUUUAUGUGGUUGUUUUGCAUCUUAGAAUGGGAGGAAGGAAUGCUAUAUGUGGUCGUACUACGAGAAUCAAGCGGCGAAUCCUGCUGCUAAGGAAGACGUUGAAAAUUUAUCGAGCGUGUUUGAAACGCUAGCUCGAAUAAGUGCGAAAGGAGACGUCGAGAUUUUAUAAAAUGUGACAUUCCAUAAGGGAAAAUGAUUGAGUGGGGAAUUCGAAAGGAAAGGGGCUGGCUUGAUUAGUAGUGAGGAGGGGGAUUCUAAUAUUAUUGUAAUUUGUAUUUGAUAUUGGAAAGUGUGUGUAAACUUUGUUCCUUUUAUUAUGUUUGGCAUCA